rnacentral:lncRNA from 1 species
ACCAUUUUUCCCCUAGACUAAAUAAAAAUGUUAUAAAACAUGUAAAUAAUAAAAUAUUAAAUAGUUAAAAGUUGAGUAAUCAUUUUAUCAUUUAAAAAAAAAGUUAUUUAUCAGUUAUUUAACUACAUUUAAUUGAUAGAAAUCUUUCAUCUCCCCAUUAAUUAGCCUAAUACAGAUUACUUGAACUCAAUUUACAAUCCUACUAUUUCAUAUCUCACAUUUACUAUUUUUUCCCUUGAGCUUCCAAAAGUUAUGUGAACUUUUCA